GUAGGGCGGGACACGUGAUAUCCUGUCUGAAUAUGGGGGGACCAUCCUCCAAGGCUAAAUACUACUGACUGACCGAUAGUGAACCAGUACCGUGAGGGAAAGGCGAAAAGAACCCCUGUGAGGGGAGUGAAAUAGAACCUGAAACCGUGUACGUACAAGCAGUAGGAGCAGGCUUUGUCCUGUGACUGCGUACCUUUUGUAUAAUGGGUCAGCGACUUAUAUUCAGUGGCAAGGUUAACCAUCUAGGGGAGCCGUAGGGAAACCGAGUCUUAACUGGGCGUUCAGUCUCUGGAUAUAGACCCGAAACCAGGUGAUCUAGCCAUGGGCAGGUUGAAGGUUGAGUAACAUCAACUGGAGGACCGAACCGACUAAUGUUGAAAAAUUAGCGGAUGACUUGUGGCUAGGGGUGAAAGGCCAAUCAAACCUGGAGAUAGCUGGUUCUCCCCGAAAGCUAUUUAGGUAGCGCCUCGGACGAAUACUACUGGGGGUAGAGCACUGUUAAGGCUAGGGGGUCAUCCCGACUUACCAACCCUUUGCAAACUCCGAAUACCAGUAAGUACUAUCCGGGAGACACACGGCGGGUGCUAACGUCCGUCGUGGAGAGGGAAACAACCCAGACCGCCAGCUAAGGUCCCAAAUUACUACUAAGUGGGAAACGAUGUGGGAAGGCUCAGACAGCCAGGAUGUUGGCUUAGAAGCAGCCAUCAUUUAAAGAAAGCGUAAUAGCUCACUGGUCGAGUCGGCCUGCGCGGAAGAUGUAACGGGGCUAAGUA
rnacentral:rRNA from 1 species